rnacentral:lncRNA from 1 species
AUGGAGCUCAACUUCCAGGCCCUGAAGGAGGCCAUCUCUCAGUUCAAGGCUGAUAAGGCUGCUCGCUCACAGAUGGCACCUCCAGAGGUGGAUGGGGAGAGACCAGAGUCCCCACCAGGACCAAGGAUUCCUGGCCUGGGUACAGACUCACCAGGGGGUCUAGGGGACUCUGGAGUUGGUUUCCUCACCCCUGGUCUCCUCACUCCUACCCCUGGUUUCACCCCUUCCUCUGUCUCUCUCCUUGGUCCUGUCCCUCUCCGCUCCAGCCAGUCCCCUGCUGGGAUCCAGAAGGAAGUUACCCUCUCCUCCUUCCACUCUAAGCUGGGUUUGAGUGUAACUACUGGUGCUGAGGUGACCAGUGACAUGUCUUUGUGUGGCUCCCAGGGCAGACUGAACGCUUUCAGCAGCCACCGGGGUCCUCUAGCUGGCAUUGUCACUGAGGGCCAUGGGGAGUCAGGGGCCACACCCAGCAACACUAACGACCUCCCAGGCCCUGAGCCUCCAAGGUCCCAGGGGGAGAACACUAAACCCAGCCCAGAAGAUGGUAGCCUCCAGGGGGGAGGAGAAAUGACUGACAAAGCCCCUAGCAGCCCCCUCCCUGGUCCUCCAGGUCCCAGGGCAGCAGCCCCACGGCCAGUUGGUGGUGGGGAUUACAUAGCGGCAGCUACAGACAGGCUGGCACAGGCAGCCAGACAGCAGCAGAGAAACGGCUUGUUACCCAUGCCUAAUACACUGUUCCUUAACAGUAACCUCAAUCUGCACAACCAUGGCUUGAGCAUAUUCCAACGGCCCAUGUUGAAUAGGCUGGAAGGACCUGCAGGACGGGGGGGUAUUAGACCAUUGAUGCCUAAUGCCAUUGGCUGGGCUAGGAUGGGCCAGGCAGGGGGGUCAGAGUCCUGUCUAUGGGGCCUUCAGCAGCAGAACAUGGGGCUGGGGCGCCACACCUUCCCUCCACGACUGAUGGGGAACCCUCAUCACCCCUGGGGUAGUAACCAGACUGCUAACCAGGGGCGUGGGAAUGGCCCUUGGAAGCGGUGA